rnacentral:hammerhead_ribozyme from 1 species
AUCGAGCGAACGAGUCCCAAAUAGGACGAAACGCGCAUCCUGGAU